GGUUGCGAUCAUACCAACACUAAUGCACCGGAUCCCAUCAGAACUCCACAGUUAAGCAUGCUUGGGCGAGAGUAGUACUAGGAUGGGUGACCCCCUAGGCAGUCCUCGUGUUGCAACCC
rnacentral:rRNA from 1 species